GUAACCGAUCAGGAAGUAUUCCGGCUCCCUCUGUGUUCCUCGCCCCUAAGCGGCCCGUGACUCUGAAGGGCUUGAGGUGUAGUUGAAGAGCAAAGACCGGCUUGUUGGUUCAUGUGGAGGAAGUAAAGUUGAAGAAGGAAAAGGGAAAGAGAUUAAUCCUGUGAAAAGGCUCUCCUGACCUGUGCCUGUUUACUCCAUUGCAAGGGAGACAGGUGUCCACUUCUCUUCCCUAUCUAGUGAGAGUAGGGCUCAAUUCAUGGCAUCACAUGUAACCGCCAUCCAGAACAGUGUCCAUGGAGGUGUUGCCCCAGAUAUUUCAGGAAAGGGAUCAGUGACAAUCCAGGAUGUGGUGGACUUCACCCCAGAGGAGUGGCAGCUGCUUGACUGUGAUCAGAGAACCUUGUACUGGGAUGUGAUGUUGGACAACGUUAGAAACCUCAUCUCAGUGGAGGACCCAGCUACUGAAGCAAAAGUGGUCUUCAAGGUGGAGCAAGGACAAGAACCAUGGAUGGUGGAGGGAGUGAACCCACGUUGGUGCCAUCCAGGAAUCUGGGCAUGGCUUCACUGGAUCCUCUGGCUCAGGGUGUCUUACACUACUAUAAUCAAGGUGCUGGCUGGGGCUACAGUCAUCUCAAGCCUCAACAAAGCCCCCCAACCCCUAGGAAGCCAGACCCCUAAGGGCGAAGCGGAGAAUCCCCCGCCGGACCGCCCCACUCUGAGCUCUGCGGCCCCGCACGGGCUUCUUCAUCGGAAGGAGGGAGGCCCUCCGCACCCCCAUUCUCUGCCUCCUUAACUCCCUAACCUGGCCUGGAAGGAAGAAGAGAUGACCAAUUCCCAGUUGCCAAGUUCACCCUGUGCACCAAUAACACUGGUUUAGAUGCUUGCUCGGUGAAGAGGAAUUACUGUUCAUCCGUGUUUUAGGAACCUGUUACAUUUGAGGAUGUAGCCAUGGACUUCACCGAGGAAGAGUGGGGACAACACAACCCUGCACAAAAAGCCCUGUAUAAAAGGUGAUGCUGGAGAUCUAUGGCAACCUGAUCUUAGUGGGAAAGCAGCUUUAUGACUGUGCUGAAUGUGGCAAGAGCUUCAGUCGGAGCACAGACCUUCGCUGUCAUCAGGGAGUCCACACUGGAGAGAAACCUUUCAUAUGUGAUGCAUGCGGCAAAGGCUUCAGUUAUAACGCAAACCUUCAUGUUCAUCAGAGUCCACACGGGGGAGAAGCCUUUUAAGUGUGAGGAGUGUGGGAAAGACUUGCGUCAGAGCUCCAAGCUUUGCAUCCGGGGAGAGUGCACACUGGAGAGAAACUAUAAAUGUAGGAAGUGUGGUAAGGACUUCAGUCAGAGCAUAGAUCUCCAAGUGCAUCAGAGAGUCCACACCAGAGAAACUUUAAAUGUGAAAUUUUUAAAAUACUUUCUCAUGCUCAUCAGAAGGUCCAGGCAGGAGAGAAAACUUUCAGGAUGUCAGCCACAGCUCUGAUCCUUACAUUCUCCCGAGAGUGAAACGAGACAACUGUGACGUGUGAUCAGGGCUGCUUCUGUCAUUCCUAUGCCUGCUUUUGUUUUUAUAUUACCUGUAUGCCCAGGCUAUCUUACAUUUUUACAUAGAUAUCAUAUUUUAUAUUACCUUUUUGAAGUUUGUUUUAUUCACCAAGCCUUAAAUUGAGAUUUUUUUUUUAUGCUGAUGUUUUAGGACUAAUUCAUGGAUUUUACUUCUGUCAUGUUCUAAGCUAUCAGACAGAUAUUUUUUUCAAUAGAUUUGGGUAUUCCUGUGCCAGUAACACGUUUUCAAGUACUAUAACUUUAUAGGAAUUGUCCUGGCUACUUAAAACUCUUUUUUCUUUCAUAUAAGUUGUAGAAGCAGCUUGCCAAAAUCCUUGAAAAAAACUCUUUUGGGUUGGUUUUUUGGGGGGUUUUGUUUCCUUUCCUCUCCUUUCAUUACUUCUAUUAGAUUAUUUUCUUUAUUCUCCCUUUAUUUCCCUCUACAAGAUCAGUAAAUUUUAUCUGUUUUAUGUUAACAUUUAUAACUUAAUUGUCUAUAUAUAAUGUCCCUCUUUAACAAUAUAGAGUAGAAAACAAAUUCUGCUUCUCCUUCUCCCUUGUUACAUGUUACUGUUGUAUAUGGUUUUAAUUUCAUCGUGUUUUUAACAUGUCCCCAUAUUUGUCACCCUUAUUACUGUUGCAAAUAGUCAAGUUUGGACAACCUGCACAUCUAUCAGUUUCUUACCACUGGUUCUUGCUUUUCCUCCUUCCUUCUGAAUUGCAUUUCCUCAGCCUUCCAGAGCAGAGGCAGCCUGUGAAGUAGUUAAAAGCAACUCUGAGCUGGACUGCCUGGGCCUGAUACAGCUCUGUUGAUCUCUAGCUACGUGACCUGGAGCAGAUUACUUAAUUUCUUUGUGCCUCAAUUUCUCCAUCUGAAAAUAAGGAUGAUAACAGUAUUUACUUCAUGGAGUUGUUAUAAAGAUAGAAUGAAUUAAUAUUUGUACAAUUAUUUAAAAAGUCCCUGGCAUAUACUAAGCUUAUAAAAGUGUUUCUUAUAUAAAUAAAAUAAACGAAUCCCUCAGUAGUUUUUCAGCAAGUGUGUCUGAGAGCACUCAAUUAUUUCUCUCUCCCUUACUCUGUAAGUAUAGCAUAGGUAGAUAUAGAAUUCUAAACUGAAAAUUCAUUUUUACUCAGCAGUUCCUCUAGUGAUGCUUUUAAAUAGUCUGUUAUUAGCCUAAUUAUUGUUCCCUUUGAGACAUUCUGUCUCUUCUCUUUGAUUGCUUUUAAGAUUACCUCCUUAUCUUUAAAGAGCUUUUGCAAAAUCCUGAAAAGCAGAAAAGUACUCUGUCAUUUGGCUAAACGUAUCUGGUAUACAUUAACUUACAUUUUUCCUAAUUAGGACACACUGUGCUUCUACAUGCCAUUCUCUAUUUUAUUAGUUUUUAAUUCUUUAUCCUUCUACUUUUAUGUUUAUCUUUUUCUAGCUGUUUCUAGCUUAUUUAUUUUUAGCCUUUGUUUUCUAAUAAAUGCAUUUCAGUAAAUUAAAUUUCCCCUAAUACUUAGGCAGCAUCCUUUCCAGAACAUAGUUUAACAAUAUAAAUCAAAAAGCUUUAAAGUGUUUAUAUAUUUGACUCAAAUUUCAUGUCUAAGUAUCUGUGUUAAUGAAAUAAUCAGAUGAAUUACAUAUAAAAGGCAUAUAUUACCGUGUUACUUGUAUUUUUAAAAAGAAGGAUUACAAUACAGAAAUUUUUAAAAAUUGUAAUAUGCUUAUAUAAUGUAGUAUUCUCCAGCAAGAAAAAUGAUGUUGGGGAUAAUUUUUAAUGACUUAGAAAAAUAUGCACAAUAUAGGAAAUGUAAAAACAGAAGAAUAAACAACAAAAAAUAAUGCUGAUGGAUAAUUUUUAUUUUCUAUUUUGUGCUUUUCAGAAUUUUGCAAGCAGUCUUUAAUGCUUCUCAAUCCCCAUUGAUAACAGUAUUGAUUCUUCUAAUUAUAAAAUAAUAUGUCCAUUGUAAAAUGUCAAAAUAUUAUAAAACAAAAGUAAGUAUAACUGGUUUACUAUGGAGUGUCAACUCAGUGGUUUUAUAAGAUCAUGAAAUGGCUUUAUUUUUUCCCAGUCACCACCUUCAUCCAUAUUCUGUUGAAUUCCUCUGAAUGAAUAAAUGAAUGAAAGGAUGACUAUUAAUACAUGAAUGAAAGGAUGAAUAUUGAGUGGUAAAGAGAGACCCUGAGGAAGGGCUUUAGAAAAGAGGAAGAGUACAAACUAGGUACAAGACUACAAAUGGGUGAAAAUGUUUGCAAUCCAUAUCACAGAAGAGAGAUUUAUCUCUGUUUAUUAAGAGCAAUUAGAAAUCAUGAAGAAAAAGCACAAAAACUGUAAAGAGACUGUUAAGAGAUAAUUAAAAUGGCACUUAAAUGUAUAGAAAGGUGGCAAACUUUUCUGAGAAAUGCAAAUCAAAACCAUGCUGAGAUACAUUUCUUACCUAUCAGAUUAGCAAAAUAUUGGAAAGUUUAAAAACCUCUUGUUAAUGAGGCUAUAGAGAAAUGGACAUUCUCAUACAUUGCUGCGGAGGUUGCAAAAUAGAAUAACUCCUAUGGAGGAAUUUGACAAUAGCUACCAAAAUUAUAGAUAUAUUUGCCUUUUGAUCCAAAUAUCCCAUUCCUAAGAAUCUAUCCCACAGAUACACUUAUACAUGUGCUUUGAAGAUAUUUGGCAUUGUUUCCAAUAGUAAAAAUGGAAAACACAAAUGUUCAAAAAUAGAAUGCAACUAUAAUUAAAAGGAAAUUUUUCUUAUUAAAAUGGAGCUAUCUCCAAGAUAUAUUAUUAAAUUUAAAAAAUGCAAGGUGAAAAACAAUGUGUAUCUAUAAUAUAAAGUAUAUAUUUAUAUAAAAAUGUAUAUAUUUUAUUAAGGAGAAUGAGAAUAUAUAAUCAUAUUAUAUUUGCUUAAAUGUUCCACUGGAAAGAUAAACAAGGGACUAGUAGAAGGAUAAAGAAUUAAAAACUAAAAUGCUUGUCUGGGGAGCAGGGAUGGGAGUGAGAAUUUUCUGUACUUUUAAUAUUAAAUAUAGAUUUGAUUUGAACAUACUACCUACUUUUAGGAUAAUGCUGAAUGAGAGCCAAUGGCUUUUCAGUAUUUAUUGCAAUUAAAAUAUUGGUGUUUAUUGAUUUAUGUGAUUAUUUUUAAUAAAAUAUUUUGUAUGUAAUUUUUGGAAGCUUAGGUUUGUUUUGUUUUUUUUCUUUUUUUGUACUAUUUUAAUCAGGAUUUGUUAUUAUGGCUAUUCAGUCUCCAAAAUGCGGUGACUCACAUAAAUAGCCUAGAUUUUUUAAAAAAACAAACUCAAAGCAAGCAGAAGGAAAUAAGAACAGAAAUCAAUGCAAUUUAAAAUAGAAAAAUAGAGGAAAUCAAUGAAACUAAAAGCUGAUUCUUUAAAAAAGAAAUCAAUAGUCAAUAAAUGUCUAGCCAGACUGACAAAGCUAAAAAUAGGGAAGACAAAUUAUUGAAAUAAACAAUGAAAGGGGACAUCAUUGCUCUCCCUACAAAAAUUUAAAAUAUAAGUAAAUACUAUGAACAGCUCUAU